UUGAACCCCAGCCCCACUGUCCACUACGAUUAGGGUUUUGGGUUUUCCAAAGGUUAGCAGACGUUCAAUUUCUCUGUCGCCAUGAGAGCUAAGUGGAAGAAGAAGAGAAUGAGGAGGUUGAAGAGGAAGCGCCGAAAGAUGAGACAAAGAUCCAAGUAGUCCUUUUCCUACUUUGUUCGUGUCGUUUGAUUGACUUUUGUUCUAGGGUUUUGAAUCUUAUUUUGUCCCUAAAAUUUCUCAGUUAUUGAUGAAAAACUUGAAUUUGUUAUUUCACAUACAUUUGGAAGUUUUUAUCGGAGUUACCUCAGUUAUUCGAUAUUUUUGGCAAUC